rnacentral:lncRNA from 1 species
AUGAACCUGAAAAAGACUGCUUUGGUAAUUUUAGCAUUGUGUAACAGCUCUCUAACUUUGCAGGCCAAGUGUGAUCCUCAGUGUUCAGACUGCUGCGUGAGUUUCUCUCCUUGCGAGUACUGUUUAGUGUGUGCCCAGUCAUGUGACUGCCGUCCACCAUCUCUGCGAUCCUGUCUGGACUAUUCCUGCCCCUCCCCUAAUUGUGAGAUGUGGGAUUGUGCCUGUACCUGUCAGCCUCCAGAGUGUGACUCCAUCAACUGCUUCUGCUUUGAGAUCAAGUUUAAGUAGAAGGGUGGAUCCUCCUCACUUUAAAAGAUGCCUUUGAAUCUCCAACUCCAAGUGACACUUAUGUAUGUUUUAAGCUAGACAGAGAACUUGUGAUUUAGUCUUUGGCUGUUCUGUAAAGUUUGCAUAAUUUCUGAGAUAUUAGCACAUCCUUCCUAUUCACAGUCAUUGAUUUAACUAAAAUAAAGUUUGAGAUGUGCAUUUAUUGGGAAUAUACAUUGAUUAUUUGAAUCAUGUAUGACUAUUUUUUUCAUGCUUAAUUAAACAUCAUAUAUAUUAUAAGCACAAUACAUGCUAUUGUUGUAAAUUGGUUAUUGGACAUAUUUCAGUAAUACUGGGAUACCAAACUGCUGUAAUCACUGAAGUACACAAACAUUACAGUACAAUGGAAGACUGAUGCAAAAAGUAAUGGUUUUAUUUUUAUGAAUGUGUAGCAUAUGGCUUUAAGAAGUGCCAUGAACUUUUAAAACGUUACGUUUGAAUGUAUUUUUACAUUUCAAGCACAAAAGGUCCUAUUUACGUAUUGGAUUUUUUUUUUUUUUACAUUUAUGUACUUUUUUUGUUGUUUAUUUUUUCUUAGUUUCCCAGUCUAGCAAUAAUAGCUGGUGAGUUUCUCUUUAGCAGUUAUGUUUUUUGGUAUGAUGGAUAUUUGUUUACAUAUAGCUUAUUUCUGACUUCUGAAUUACCUAUUUUUUUUUUUUUUUUGUACAGUAGCUGAUUCAGUAUAAGCGCUAGAUUGUCAUAGAAAAGUCGGAAUUACCUUUUUUUUUUUUUUAGUAAAUAGCCUUUGCACAGCCAGCCUUGUUGCUACUCUUCUAUAGUUUCACAAAACUGUUGUCCAUAAAAUGCGUUGCACAAAUUCAAACAUCUGGGUUGUGGUGUUCUGUUGUAAAUAAAUCUUAACCAAUGAUUGCUCAUUGCAUCUACUUCCGGAAGGCCAAAUAAAGUGCUUUUGCUUUCGCACAGAAACACACAGCAUCUUCCUGACAUGGCUGCAUCAACACUAACUGCGGUUCCUGAAACCACAUCUUCUUUCUUUGCGUGAACAUUUGGGCAGCAUUACGCAAUAUUUCCACAUCGUGACGCAGACAUGUGGGGGCGUGUUUGAAUGAGGCGUUUUAGCCCGGUCUGGAUCAGCCUUCUCUUUUAGAUUGAAUAAAUCCUUUUGUGGGAGACUUUGAGCUUUGUAACUCUGCAGAUCUUAUACAUGCACAAAAUAGCUACAUAACACACUAAAGAAAAGGAAAAAUAGAAAUCCCAUCAUAUGACCCCUUUAACAGAUAUCUGAAUACUGACGAAGAGCUCUGGGGAUGUCUUAAACUGUGCCAUGAAUAAAAACAUAGUCCUCUGAAAAUUGUUGUGCAGUUUUAAAGUCUUACCUGUUGCGUUUUCUUUCAGUUUUAAAGCAAUAUCUUCGCGCAGUAUCUAGC